rnacentral:rRNA from 1 species
ACGGCUACCUUGUUACGACUUAGCCCCAGUCAUCGGUUUUGCCCUAGGGCGCUGCUCGCGCUCACGCACUUCAGGCACUCCCGACUCCCAUGGCUUGACGGGCGGUGUGUACAAGGCCCGGGAACGUAUUCACCGCGCCGUGGCUGAUGCGCGAUUACUAGCGAAUCCAGCUUCAUGGAGUCGGGUUGCAGACUCCAAUCCGAACUGAGACAGGCUUUCGGGUUCCGCUCCCUGUCGCCAGGUGGCUUCCCGCUGUACCUGCCAUUGUAACACGUGUGUCGCCCCGGACGUAAGGGCCGUGCUGAUUUGACGUCAUCCCCGCCUUCCUCGCAGCUUGCGCCGGCAGUCCCGCCAGAGUCCCCAGCUUUGCCUGUUGGCAACUGGCGGUAGGGGUUGCGCUCGUUAUGGCACUUAAGCCGACACCUCACGGCACGAGCUGACGACAACCAUGCAGCACCUCGUCGCAGGUCCGUAGACGGGCAUCCUUUCAGACACCCUUCCUGCAACGUUUGAGCCCGGGUAAGGUUCCUCGCGUAUCAUCGAAUUAAACCACAUGUUCCUCCGCUUGUGCGGGCCCCCGUCAAUUCCUUUGAGUUUCACCGUUGCCGGCGUACUCCCCAGGUGGAG